rnacentral:rRNA from 1 species
AGAGUUUGAUCCUGGCUCAGGACGAACGCUGGCGGCAGGCUUAACACAUGCAAGUCGAGCGCCCCGCAAGGGGAGCGGCAGACGGGUGAGUAACGCGUGGGAAUCUACCUUUUGCUACGGAAUAACUCAGGGAAACUUGUGCUAAUACCGUAUGUGCCCUUCGGGGGAAAGAUUUAUCGGAGAUGGAUGAGCCCGCGUUGGAUUAGCUAGUUGGUGGGGUAAAGGCCUACCAAGGCGACGAUCCAUAGCUGGUCUGAGAGGAUGAUCAGCCACACUGGGACUGAGACACGGCCCAGACUCCUACGGGAGGCAGCAGUGGGGAAUAUUGGACAAUGGGCGCAAGCCUGAUCCAGCCAUGCCGCGUGAGUGAUGAAGGCCCUAGGGUUGUAAAGCUCUUUCAACGGUGAAGAUAAUGACGGUAACCGUAGAAGAAGCCCCGGCUAACUUCGUGCCAGCAGCCGCGGUAAA